rnacentral:lncRNA from 1 species
UUCGACUUAGAAAAUGUGCAAUAACUCAGUACUUAUUCGACAAAUAAAAGUAAUUUUGGUGUCAACAAAAUUCUACACUCUUCAUGAAUUCCCCGAUUUGUUCUUCAUCAAUGAACGAUAUUUCUAAUAUCCGAACUUUGAAGCAUGGAGACGUUACAUUUCGUGACGACCAUUGGAUCCAUUAGGAAAUAAAACUCCUUGUUUUAAUUGGUUUGAUUAUGAAUAUGUUUCUUUUCGGCGAGAUCAAAGCUUAGAAAUGUCUUUUAUUUCUCUAUUGAGUCAUGAAGCCUAUUUGUUUGGUCAUUUUGGUGCCCUGGAUAGGGAAGGUCAAAAGAUCAAAUUCCAAAUUAGUGGGUCGAGAGUUUGUCUCACAACUUUUUCUUUUCUCAUGGCAUAAGGGAAAUCCAGAGUUUAGGCACUUUAUGCUCAUUAUUUGAAAAAUGGGUUCACUCAUAAGCAACAUAAAUGAACUGGAAAUCCAUCUAAUAACCCGUACAACCG